GCGCACGGGUGAAGUAACGCGUAGGUGACGUGCCUUUUUAGUGGGGGACAACCUCGGGAAACCGGGGCUAAUACCGCAUAAGUUAAACGACAUUGGAAAAGCUUAAGAAAGUGGGCUCCGGCUCACGCUGAAAGAUCGGCCUGCGUAUCAUUAGCUUGUUGGUGGGGUAACGGCCUACCAAGGCGACGAUGAUUAACUGGUCUGAGAGGAUGAUCAGUCACACUGGAACUGAGACACGGUCCAGACUCCUACGGGAGGCAGCAGUAGGGAAUAUUGCGCAAUGGGGGAAACCCUGACGCAGCAAUGCCACGUGAGUGAGGAAGGCCUUCGGGUUGUAAAGCUCUGUCCUAUAGGAAGAACUGCGUCUGGGUUAAUACCUCAGACGUUUGACGGUACUAUAGAAGAAAGCACCGGCUAACUCCGUGCCAGCAGCCGCGGUAAUACGGAGGGUGCAAGCGUUGUUCGGAUUUACUGGGCGUAAAGCGCGCGCAGGCGGAUUGGCAAGUCAGAUGUGAAAUCCCGGGGCUCAACCCCGGAACUGCGUCUGAAAC
rnacentral:rRNA from 1 species